AACAGCUAGGGUGCAGGUGCAGUCUAUUCUCAUGUUCUGGAAAAUGAUCUUUCCUGGGGGUAUGUUCAGAUGAAUGCAAGUGCCCACAAAGACAAGAAGAGCAUUGGAACUCCAGGAAUUGGAGCUAUGGGCAGUGAACUGGAUUAUCAUAUCAACUGCAGCAGGAACAACAGAAUAAAUUAUUGCAAACAAUGUCAAAAGUAACUAAGGGAGAAACUGUCCAUCUAUUUUCUGUGCCCUCCACCCAGGCCUAAGCAGGCCU